GGGAUGACAGGGUCAAAAGGGAAUUGUAUUUUUAAUUAUUUGAAGAACCCCCAUACUGUUUCCAUUAGUGGUUGCACCAAUUUACAUUCCCAC